GAUGCAUCUAGAUUAGAGUUUGAUCCUGGCUCAGGACGAACGCUGGCGGCGUGCCUAAUGAAGCAAGUCGAGCGACGCAUACUGGAGGGGUAACCCACCGGUAUGACGGAGCGGCGAACGGGUGAGUAACACGUGAGCAACCUGCCCCGAAGAUCGGGAUAGCCCAGGGAAACCUGGAUUAAUACCGGAUACCCUCUAACACUCGCAUGGGUGAAUGAGGAAAUGCUUUUGUGCUUCGGGAUGGGCUCGCGGCCUAUCAGCUUGUUGGUGGGGUAACGGCCUACCAAGGCGUCGACGGGUAGCUGGUCUGAGAGGACGAUCAGCCACACUGGGACUGAGACACGGCCCAGACUCCUACGGGAAGGCAGCAGCAGGGAAUCUUGCGCAAUGGGCGAAAGCCUGACGCAGCAACGCCGCGUGGGGGAUGACGGCCUUCGGGUUGUAAACCCCUUUCAGGAGGGAAGAAAUUGACGGUACCUCCAGAAGAAGCCCCGGCCAACUACGUGCCAGCAGCCGCGGUAAUACGUAGGGGGCAAGCGUUGUCCGGAAUUAUUGGGCGUAAAGAGCUCGUAGGCGGCUCAGCAAGUCGGCUGUGAAAUCCCGAGGCUCAACCUCGGAACUGCAGUCGAUACUGCUGUGGCUAGAGUCUGGUAGAGGAGAAUGGAAUUCCCGGUGUAGCGGUGAAAUGCGCAGAUAUCGGGAGGAACACCAGUAGCGAAGGCGGUUCUCUGGGCCAGUACUGACGCUGAGGAGCGAAAGCGUGGGGAGCAAACAGGAUUAGAUACCCUGGUAGUCCACGCCGUAAACGUUGGGUACUAGGUGUGGCGUCCCGAUCAACGGAUGCCGUGCCGAAGCUAACGCAUUAAGUACCCCGCCUGGGGAGUACGGCCGCAAGGCUAAAACUCAAAGGAAUUGACGGGUCCCCGCACAAGCGGCGGAGCAUGCGGCUUAAUUCGAUGCAACCCGAAGAACCUUACCUGGGUUUGACAUCAUGGGAAAAGCCGUAGAAAUACGGUGUCCAUUAGGGCCCAUGACAGGUGGUGCAUGGCUGUCGUCAGCUCGUGUCGUGAGAUGUUGGGUUAAGUCCCGCAACGAGCGCAACCCUUGUCCUAUGUUGCCAGCGGUUCGGCCGGGGACUCAUAGGAGACUGCCGGGGACAACUCGGAGGAAGGUGAGGACGACGUCAAGUCAUCAUGCCCCUUAUAUCCAGGGCUGCACGCAUGCUACAAUGGCCGGUACAACAGGCUGCGAACUCGCGAGGGUGAGCUAAUCCUCAAAGCCGGCCUCAGUUCGGAUUGGAGUCUGCAACUCGACUCCAUGAAGUCGGAGUCGCUAGUAAUCGCGGAUCAGCAAAGCCGCGGCGAAUGCGUUCUCGGGGAUUGUACACACCGCCCGUCACGUCACGGAAGUCGGCAACACCCGAAGUCAGUGGCCCAACCCUUUUGGGAGGGAGCUGCCGAAGGUGGGGUCGGUAACUGGGACGAAGUCGUAACAAGGUAGCCGUACGGGAACGUGCGGCUGGAUCACCUCCUUAAUCGGAUCCCGGGCCCGUCGACUGCAGAGGCCUGCAUGCAAGCUUCCCUAUAGUGAGUCGUAUA
rnacentral:rRNA from 1 species